UUUUUAAGAACCUAUUACUGAUGUCCAUAUGCCCUCUGAGUUUUUUUUAUGUUACAAUAUCCAUCAGUGAAACGGAGAGAAAGUUUGGCCGCUUAAGAUUCAACUCUAAGCCACAACGUCAGCACCAAUUGUUUUGGCUUUACAGACAAGUAAUGUUCGCGGUAGUGGAUAAAAAUAAGCUAAAUGUCUUUCGCCUGAAUCGGAAAACCCUUCUGGAAAUGCUGAGUGUUGCAUGGGUUUUAGCCAUGUUUACAAAUAGUCUUAUGGUUAAUAGCAGAGCCGGAAUGGAGCAUUUUAAAAGUAUAGCAAUCAAGAAAAGUCUUAUAUAGUUUACAAAGAGUAAAUCUGAUUUGUCAUACCGUC